UGCUCAUCGAGACCGGCUGAGGGAAAAGGCCCUUGGACGCCGGGGCAACCUGCGGCCCGCCGUAAGGUGCCAACUCCUUCGGGACCCCUCCCCGGGUCGCGGCAGAUGAGAG
rnacentral:ncRNA from 2 species